CCAGCAGCCGCGGUAAUACGGAGGGUGCAAGCGUUAAUCGGAAUUACUGGGCGUAAAGCGAGCGCAGGCGGUUUCUUAAGUCUGAUGUGAAAGCCCCCGGCUCAACCGGGGAGGGUCAUUGGAAACUGGGAGACUUGAGUGCAGAAGAGGAGAGUGGAAUUCCAUGUGUAGCGGUGAAAUGCGUAGAGAUAUGGAGGAACACCAGUGGCGAAGGCGGCUUCCUGGUCUGCAACUGACACUGAGGCGCGAAAGCGUGGGGAGCA
rnacentral:rRNA from 1 species